GUGUUUCAAUUCAUUUGCAUAGAGAGGAAAUUUGUGCAGAAUGAAUUUUGUAUGUGGCAGUGGCUGAUGGCUUUCAUCAUCUCUUUAGCGAAUCUGCUUCAGGGUUUAAUCUGAACUUUAAUGUCAUCAUUCAAGGUGCUGAGUGCUAUCCCCAAAAUGGGUUCAGCAACCAUUUUUAUCUUUUUAAAGGUCAGUUCUGAUAUGGAUUCACCAUCCUGUCGACACUGGAGUUGCUGGUUGUGUGUGUUGUGCGGUGGGCCAGUAAGAAAGAAUACAGUGGAAGAAAUAACACAGAGGGACAAGACACUUCCAAUAUUUUUUAACAAGACACCUGAGCAUGGCAGACAUGACUCCUCACUGCUGUUACAUGGUUCCUGGUUGGACUGUUACAAACCUUUACCUGGUGUCAACAUCAAGCUGACCAAUUACAUUGCAUGCAAGAUAUCAUUAUAUUACAGUAUAUGGCAGGGGUCUCAUCCCAGUGACAGAAUACUUCAUCAUAUAAGACAGAGGCCAAUAAGCAUCAGGCACCUGGAAAAUUUUGGAAUUAGUAUAGAGAGCUGA
rnacentral:lncRNA from 1 species